rnacentral:rRNA from 1 species
AUUGAACGCUGGCGGCAUGCCUUACACAUGCAAAUCGAACGGUAACGGGCCUUCGGGUGCCGACGAGUGGCGAACGGGUGAGUAAUACAUCGGAACGUGCCCGAUCGUGGGGGAUAACGAGGCGAAAGCUUUGCUAAUACCGCAUACGAUCUACGGAUGAAAGCAGGGGACCGCAAGACCUUGCGCGGACGGAGCGGCCGAUGGCAGAUUAGGUAGUUGGUGGGAUAAAAGCUUACCAAGCCGACGAUCUGUAGCUGGUCUGAGAGGAUGAUCAGCCACACUGGGACUGAGACACGGCCCAGACUCCUACGGGAGGCAGCAGUGGGGAAUUUUGGACAAUGGGCGCAAGCCUGAUCCAGCCAUGCCGCGUGAAGGAUGAAGGCCUUCGGGUUGUAAACUGAUUUUGUAAGGAACGAAAAGCCUUCUUUUAAUACAGGAGGGUCAUGACGGUACCGUAAGAAUAAGCACCGGCUAACUACGUG